rnacentral:tRNA from 2 species
CAGAGAAUAGUUUAAUUAAAAUAUUAGUUUUGGGGAUUAAUGAUAGGGAAGUUUCCUUUUCUCUGA